AAAGGCAGAAACAAUUUCAUUAUUUUCAUCUUUGUGCCCUGAGGACUUAGAUCCCAUAGAAAUGAGACCUCACUGAAUGAAUGAAUAAGGACGGAAACAUCUAGGAAUGGAGAAAAUGCUUUGGACUUCUGGAGAAUUCUCUCUCAAGACUAUUAAUUGGAGCCUGCCCAAAGCCCAUUAAAGCCCGUCUCCUCCCAGACCAGAGUCCUCACCAACUGCCAGCUGAGGGAGGGUGCAGCCCAGGCGCUCGGCUAUCGGAAUGAUCAGGCUUACUUAAAGCCUCCCUGUAAUCAAGACGAAGAGUUCUAAUUUCUGAUAGAGUAAGUCUAGAUGGAAUGGAUUUUCCUCUAAUGUGGAAGGAAUUCCUCCCUGGGAGGCCACAAGUUAUUUUCAAAUUCACAUGGAGAGUGGAGUAGGUGAUUUGCAUAGGUGACAGCUGUUAAAAGAAGACACUUAAUGGCUCUUUGAAAGAAGAAGUCGUUACCAUGAUCUCCAUCGCACUCCAUCUUGACGUGCCCCAGUACAUGGCCAUCCCCUGGUUAAUCACGUGGGUCAUCGCUCGCACAAUUUCUACGGAAGAUUAAACACAUUGUGAGAUUUUAUUCUUCUCAAA